rnacentral:rRNA from 1 species
UGGUAGUGUAUUGGACAACCAUAGGGGAUAUGGUAGUGUAUUGGACAACCAUGGCAGUCACGGGUAACGGAGAAUUAGGGUUCGAUUCCGGAGAGGGAGCCUGAGAAACGGCUACCACAUCUAAGGAAGGCAGCAGGCGCGUAAAUUACCCAAUCCCAAUUCGGGGAGGUAGUGACAAGAAAUAACAACCUGAGUGGUUCGCCACUUCGGGAUUGCAAUGAGAUAAGUCUAAAUCCGUAAGCGAUUACCAAUUGGAGGGCAAGUCUGGUGCCAGCAGCCGCGGUAAUUCCAGCUCCAAUAGCGUAUACUUAAGUUGUUGCAGUUAAAAAGCUCGUAGUUGAAAAUCGAAUCAGCUUCAUUAUGGCUUCGGUCAUACUUGUUAGCUGGUUCUCCGUCUACAAACCUUUUUGCUCUUUUACGAGUGCAGCUUGGAGAGUAGACAAUUUACCUUGAAAAAAUUAGAGUGUUCCAGGCAGGUCUUCGCCGGAAUACAUUAGCAUGGAAUAAUGGAAUAGGACUAUGGCCAUUUGAUUGGUUCAUGGAUUUAGUAAUGAUUAAUAGGGACAGAUGGGGGCAUUAGUAUUUAAUAGUCAGAGGUGAAAUUCUUGGAUUUAUUAAAGACUAACUUAUGCGAAAGCAUUUGCCAAGGAUGUUUUCAUUAAUCAAGAACGAAAGUUAGGGGAUCAAAGACGAUCAGA